rnacentral:rRNA from 1 species
CUCAGUUCGGAUUGGAGCUGCAACCCGACUCCAUGAAGCUGGAUUCGCUAGUAAUCGCGCAUCAGCCACGGCGCGGUGAAUACGUUCCCGGGCCUUGUACACACCGCCCGUCAAGCCAUGGAAGCCGGGAGUGCCUGAAGUGCGUGAGCGCAAGCAGCGCCCUAAGGUAAAACCGGUGACUGGGGCUAAGUCGUAACAAGGUACC